GGGCGAUUAGCUCAGUUGGUUAGAGCGCUACGUUGACAUCGUAGAGGUCAGCGGUUCAACUCCGUUAUCGCCCA
rnacentral:tRNA from 2 species